CAUCUAGAGCUUAAUUUGUUAUCAGAUUGAAGGAAGGGAUAUUGGUAGUGACAUGGAAACAAUAAUCUCAUCCACAAGGGAUAGUGAGAGUGGCUUUUGUUCAUUAACAGGUAUCUACUACAGCAAAUGGGAGUCACCAAACAUUCCUACAACUCCGUCUCUUUCCCUCCCUUCAUUUCUUCUCUCCCAACUUUCCCCUCGACACUUGAAAAAACCAGCUUAUAUAGACUCGGUCUCUGGUAAGUCCCUCACUUACCAAGAGCUUCGAUCACUCUCAAUUGGCAUAGCCAGCACUCUACAUUCUUCUUUCGGUAUUAAAAAAGGCGAUGUUGUUCUUGUGGUUUCCUCAAAUUCCAUUCAUUUCCCUCUACUAAUUCUUUCCAUAAUGUCAAUGGGAGCAAUUUUUACCACAGCUAAUCCAUUAUACAGCACAUAAGAAUUACACUGUCAAAUUCAAGACUCAAAUCCUGUACUAGUAUUUAAACCCACGAGUUUAAGUCGAAAUUUGACGGUAUGAUAUUAAAGAAUCGUGUCCUGUUAGUUGAAAAAUUCAUGUACAACUUGUUCGUAAACACACCUACUAAAUCAUCCAGCAGCAUUCCUAGCAAUAUCAAAUCAGAUGAUAUUGCUGCUUUAAUGUACUCUUCGGGAACAACCGGGAAGAGCAAAGCAGUGGUUUGCUCACACCGGAACUUGGUUUCCAUGGGUGGCUUACUAAGACACGUUUGGAAUACUGAAGGAGGUGGUGAUGACGACGUUUACAUGUGUGUUGUACCAUUGUUUCACAUGUUUGGGUUAUCCAUGAUGGUUUGUGGGGUACUAGCUGCUAGAUCAACAGCCGUGCUUGUUAAAAAGUAUUCCGUCGAGGAGAUGCUCAGCGGUAUUGAGAGGUACAACGUAACGAGGCUUCCGGUAGCUCCACCAGUGGUGGUUCAGAUGGUGAGGUUUCAAAACAAGAUGAAUAAGUAUAACUUGAAAUCUCUUAAAGAGGUGAUCUGUUCAGGGGCACCCUUAGGGAACGAACACAUUGAAAGAUUUUGCAAGAUCUAUCCCCAGAUAAACCUAACUCAGGUUGCAGAGAAAAAAGUUUCAGGGUUUGCUCUCUCUCUCAGACGAAGAAACAGGCCGAGAACACGAUUUCUAAUCGAAAUUUCCAGUUCAACAAUGGAACUAUGAAGAUCUUCAACAACAACAGAAAUAAAGAAGAUAACAACUAAUCGUCAUUCACAGAACAACUUUGGGUACUGGAAUCUGUACCUGGAGAUGUAAAUCCUGAAGAGAGUGAUGGAGAAGUUGAGAAGGUUUUCCAGACCUUGCAAAGUUUACCCUCAGAAAUCCCAUCAAGAAAGUGGCUUGUAGAUUACAUGAUGGAGCUUGGGUUCUUCAAAUCACUUUCCCAGUGGGUUGGCAAUAACCUUAUGAAAUCUGGGGACCAUGAAACAUGGGCUUUUGAUCUCCAAGGUGCUGUUGAUAUGUUCAAUUUAUACAGGUAAUAAAUAAAGUUCGGAUGAGUCGCGGAGCGAAAAGAGCAGAAAAGUAGUGAAAAGCCGG